rnacentral:rRNA from 1 species
AACGAACGCUGGCGGCAUGCCUAACACAUGCAAGUCGAACGAUUGCCUUCGGGUGAUAGUGGCGCACGGGAGCGUAACGCGUGGGAAUCUGCCCUUAGGUUCGGAAUAACAGCUGGAAACGGCUGCUAAUACCGGAUGAUAUCGCGAGAUCAAAGAUUUAUCGCCUGAGGAUGAGCCCGCGUUGGAUUAGGUAGUUGGUGGGGUAAAGGCCUACCAAGCCGACGAUCCAUAGCUGGUCUGAGAGGAUGAUCAGCCACACUGGGACUGAGACACGGCCCAGACUCCUACGGGAGGCAGCAGUGGGGAAUAUUGGACAAUGGGCGCAAGCCUGAUCCAGCAAUGCCGCGUGAGUGAUGAAGGCCCUAGGGUUGUAAAGCUCUUUUACCCGGGAAGAUAAUGACUGUACCGGGAGAAUAAGCCCCGGCUAACUCCGUG